GCGCUCAUAGCUCAGUUGGAUAGAGCGACAGCCUCCUAAGCUGUAGGCCGCAAGUUCGAUUCUUGCUGGGCGCACCA
rnacentral:tRNA from 3 species